CUGCGAGUCCCUAAACCUCCUUCCGAUUCCCAGAAGCCUACCUCGAUGACCCGUGUUUACGUCCGUAAGACACGCCCCCCAGACGAGGUCAGCAGAGUGGUUAGAGUCACCGUAGCGAGGCCCCUCCCACUAGAUGUUGCCCCGCCCCAUCAAUCUGAAUAUGCAGGUCCCGGUGGGCCGCGGUUUGACGUGCAGGGGAUGGUGCUGCCGCACAGCAUUCUGGGAAGCCUGGAGGAUUUCAGGACAGAGAUGCAGCUGCGAGGAGAGACAGAGCUGGUGCAGAGGAUUCCAGACCGACAGGAACCGCCCCCUCUGUGGGUGGAGGAUGAGAAUGAGGACAAUAAGGCCGGAGAUCAUUCAGAAACGGGGCAGGGCCAUCAGAGCCACGCCCUCCAGCACUGGGGCCGUCACAUGACAGAGAGACGCAGACAGCAGGACUUCAUCUCACGUGAGUCUGUCUGGUGCAUUACUCAUAGAGUGAAGAAUGUGUUUUUCAGCCUGUCAGAAUUAAUGUGCAUGCUUAAGAUACUGAUGAAAUACAUAUGAGUCUUUUACUUUAGAAU
rnacentral:lncRNA from 1 species